UGGGGAAUCUUGCGCAAUGCGCGAAAGCGUGACGCAGCAACGCCGCGUGCGGGAAGACGGCCUUCGGGUUGUAAACCGCUUUCAGUUGGGACGAAGCUUCGUCCGGUGAAUAGCCGGGCGGAGUGACGGUACCUUCAGAAGAAGCCCCGGCUAACUACGUGCCAGCAGCCGCGGUAAUACGUAGGGGGCAAGCGUUGUCCGGAAUCAUUGGGCGUAAAGCGCGUGUAGGCGGCUUGGUAAGUCCGCUCUGAAAGCCCGGGGCUCAACCCCGGGAGGCGGGUGGAUACUGCUGAGCUCGAGUCCGGAAGAGGCGAGUGGAAUUCCUGGUGUAGCGGUGAAAUGCGCAGAUAUCAGGAGGAACACCUAUGGCGAAGGCAGCUCGCUGGGACGGUACUGACGCUGAGACGCGAAAGCGUGGGGAGCGAACAGG
rnacentral:rRNA from 1 species